UAUUGCACAAUGGGCGCAAGCCUGAUGCAGCCAUGGCGCGUGUGUGAAGAAGGCCUUCGGGUUGUAAAGCACUUUCAGCGGGGAGGAAGGCGGCGAGGUUAAUAACCUCACCGAUUGACGGUACCCGCAGAAGAAGCACCGGCUAACUCCGUUCCAGCAGCCGCGGUAAUACGGAGGGUGCAAGCGUUAAUCGGAAUUACUGGUCGUAAAGCGCACGCAGGCGGUCUGUCAAGUCGGAUGUGAAAUCCCCGGGCUCAACCUGGGAACUGCAUUCGAAACUGGCAGGCUAGAGUCUUGUAGAGGGGGGUAGAAUUCCAGGUGUAGCGGUGAAAUGCGUAGAGAUCUGGAGGAAUACCGGUGGCGAAGGCGGCCCCCUGGACAAAGACUGACGCUCAGGUGCGAAAGCGUGGGGAGCAAACAGG
rnacentral:rRNA from 1 species